rnacentral:snoRNA from 14 species
UGGUCCAUCCUAAUCUGGACCAGAGCAUCCUAGAAACCCUGCCAGAGUUGUGCAAGGCCUGUUUGUUUUAGGCUUGUGCUGGCAGCACUUCUGAACAGGC